CGCCUACGGGGCGCAGCAGUCGGGAAUAUUGCGCAAUGGAGGAAACUCUGACGCAGUGACGCCGCGUAUAGGAAGAAGGUUUUCGGAUUGUAAACUAUUGUCGUUAGGGAAGAAAAAAGACAGUACCUAAGGAGGAAGCCCCGGCUAACUACGUGCCAGCAGCCGCGGUAAUACGUAGGGAGCAAGCGUUAUCCGGAUUUACUGGGUGUAAAGGGAGCGUAGACGGCGAAGAAAGUCUGAAGUGAAAGCCCGCGGCUUAACCGCGGAACUGCUUUGGAAACUUUUUUGCUGGAGUACCGGAGAGG
rnacentral:rRNA from 1 species